UUUAAAUGUAGUUUUGUACCGUUCAUAUCUAACAUUUAACCGUUCGUUUUAUUAAAAAAAUUUGAUUAAUAUUUUUAUUGUUAUUAGAUGAUAAAAUAUGAAUAGUACCUUAUGUGUUACUAAUAUUUUUUUUAAUAUUUUUUUAGUUUUUUCAUAAAUUUUUUAAAUAAACGGACGGUCAAAUGUUAGAUACGAAAAACCACGACUACACUUAUU
rfam:Oryza punctata chromosome 5, whole genome shotgun sequence.